rnacentral:rRNA from 1 species
GCACUUUGCCAGCGGUCUAAACAUGCAAGUCGAGCGGUAACAGGAGAAAGCUUGCUUUCUUGCUGACGAGCGGCGGAAGGGAGAGUAAUGUAUGGGGAUCUGCCCGAUAGAGGGGGAUAACUACUGGAAACGGUAUCUAAUACCGCAUGAUGUCUACAGACCAAAGCGGGGGCUCUUCGGACCUUGCUCUAUCAGAUGAACCCAUCUGGGAUUACGUCUAGUAGGUGAGGUAAUCGGCUCACCUAGGCGACGAUCUCUAUCUGGUCUGAGAGCGAUGAUCAGUCACACUGGGACUGACACACGGCCCUGACUCCUACGGGAGGCAGCAGUGGGGAAUAUUGCACAAUGGGCGCAAGCCUGAUGCAGCCAUGCCGCGUGUAUGGAGGAUGCCUUAGGGUUGUAAAGUACUUUCAGUCGGGGAGGAAGGUGAUAAAGUUAAUAUCCUUAUCGAUUGACGUUACCGGCAGAAGAAGCACCGGCUUACUCCGUGCCAGCACGCGCGGUAAUACGGAGGGGUGCCAGCGUUAAUCGGAAUUACUGGGCGUAAAGCGCACGCGGGCGGUCUAUUAAGUCAUAUGUGAAAUCCCCGAGCUUAACUUGGGAAUUGCAUCUGAAACUGGUUGGCUAGAGUCUUGUAGAGGGGGGUAGAAUUCCAUGUGUAGCGGUGAAAUGCGUAGAGAUGUGGAGGAAUACCGGUGGCGAAGGCGGCCCCCUGGACAAAGACUGACGCUCCGGUGCGAAAGCGUGGGGAGCACACGGGAUUAUAUACCCUGGUAGUCCACGCUGUAAACUAUGUUGAUUUCGAGGUUGGUGCUCUUGAACCGUGCGCUUUUGGAGACUAACGCUUUAUAUACGACCGCCUGGGGAGUACGGCCGGGGGGGUUGGGACUUAUAUAUAUUUUACGGGGGCCCCGCCCGCCGCGGUGGAGCGUGUGGUUUAAUAUCGAUCGCAACGGGAGAGAACACUUACCUACUUCUUUACAUCGAGAGAAUCCUUUAGAAUGAAUAUAUACAGGUGUUUUUUCUGGAACUUUGAAGACAGGUAGCUGCGUGGUUUGUCGUCAUUUCUUUUUGAAUGUGUGAAAAUAUUUUGGGUUAACGUGCCGCAACUUUAGCGCACCCCUUGUCUUGGUUGUUGGUCGGCGGGUAGCAUCGUCGGGGGGGAACUCAAAUUAGGCAGACUGACCGGCGUGGGUUAGACCGGAGGAUGUGUGGUGUUGAUGUCAUAUUCAUCACUGGCUCCUUACGAGUAGUUUGGCUAGCACACGUGCUACAAUGGCGGAUACAAAGAGAAGCGACCUCGCGAGAGCAAGCGGAACUCAUAAAGUCCGUCGUAGUCCGGAUUGGAGUCUGCAACUCGACUCCAUGAAGUCGGAAUCGCUAGUAAUCGUAGAUCAGAAUGCUACGGUGAAUACGUUCCCGGGCCUUGUACACACCGCCCGUCACACCAUGGGAGUGGGUUGCAAAAGAAGUAGGUAGCUUAACCUUCGGGAGGGCGCUACCACUUUGAUAUGGU